UAGCUCUGGUUUCUCUUAAAUCACAUAUAAAUCUUUUGCCUUUUACUAAAGAUUUCCUUGGAGAGGAUCAUCCAUGGGUUUGAUGUAUUUUUGUGAGCUUUGCUCUGGCAAAGCU